rnacentral:rRNA from 1 species
GAAUUCCCUAUGGGGAGUUGUUGCUGGCCUCUAGGGGCAUGUGCACGCUUCACUAGUCUUUCAACCACCUGUGAAUUUUUGAUAGAUCUGUGAAGUCGUCUCUCAAGUCGUUAGACUUGGUUUGCUGGGAUGUAAACGUCUCGGUGUGACUACGCAGUCUAUUUACUUAUAACACCCCAAAUGUAUGUCUACGAAUGUCAUUUAAAGGGCCUUGUGCCUAUAAACCAUAAUACAACUUUCAACAACGGAUCUCUUGGCUCUCGCAUCGAUGAAGAACGCAGCGAAAUGCGAUAAGUAAUGUGAAUUGCAGAAUUCAGUGAAUCAUCGAAUCUUUGAACGCACCUUGCGCCCCUUGGUAUUCCGAGGGGCAUGCCUGUUUGAGUGUCAUUAAAUUCUCAAACUCACUCUGGUUUUUCCAAUUGUGAUGUUUGGAUUGUUGGGGGCUGCUGGCCUUGACAGGUCGGCUCCUCUUAAAUGCAUUAGCAGGACUUCUCAUUGCCUCUGCGCAUGAUGUGAUAAUUAUCACUCAUCAAUAGCACGCAUGAAUAGAGUCUGGCUCUCUAACCGUCCGCAAGGACAAUUUGACAAUUUGACCUCAAAUCAGGUAGGACUACCCGCUGAACUUAAGCAUAUCAAUA